rnacentral:tRNA from 1 species
GGGGCUAUAGCUCAGAUGGGAGAGCGCUUGCAUGGCAUGCAAGAGGUCAGCGGUUCAAUCCCGCUUAGCUCCA